UGGUCGAGCACAUGAAUUCGAUUUCAUUAUCGUUGUUACAUUCUAUAUAGGUUGACAACAUUUUUAGGCUAAAAUUUCAGUUAGUAAACUAAUAAAACAAAUUUUAGAAUUAUGACUAUUUCGAAGUGGAAAAACUAAAAGGAAAACGUCUGUCUACAAAUGCCAAAAGAUCGCCAGGAUAACCCGCAAUGGAUACCAUAACUUUUUACGUGAGCUUACGGAAAAUAAUUGCGGCCUUUUACCUCAAGAGACUGUCCGUAAAGGAGCAAAGGCAACGGAAUCGACUAACUUGUGCAAAACAACAGAAAUACGAAUUAAUGGAAUUCAACCGAAAUUCAAAGACAUCAAGAAGAAAAUGUUUUCCUUUUGUUGACAGGAAGACAAGACAACAAACGCCAGAAAACACGCCAUAAAAGACCCAAAAAUAGACGCCAGAAAAGACAUUUUAGAUAGCUAUUGCGGGAUAUCCUGGCGACCUUUUGGCAUUUGUGGACAGACGUUUUCCUUUUAGUUUUCGCACUUCAAAGUAUCCAUAAUUCUUAAAUUUGUUCUAUUAGUUUUUCAACCGAAAUUUGGGCUUAAAGAUGUUGUCAGCCUACGUAGAAUGUUACAACGAGAAUGAAAGGGGGAGCUUACAAUACGGAUCGUUAUUCCCAUUUGGAGGAUGUGCAAAGGACUACGAUGGAUACAGAUGCUUGGUUUAUUCCCAGUGCUAGCCCCAGUGAGACUUCUUUGUCGGCAGAAGCAAUUGUCAAUUUCCGAAGACGAUGAUUGGAAACUUGGCUAUUCAAAUUGUAAAGAAUGCAUGUGUUUUAAAUAUAGUUCAACUAUUUCUAGUA